CAGGCGUAACACAUGCAAGUCGAGCGAGAAAGGGGAAACCCCGGUAAAGCGGCGCACGGGUGAGUAACACGUAGGUAAUUUACCCCCAGGUGGUGGAUAACCUUCCGAAAGGAGGGCUAAUACAGCAUAAGACCACGUCUUCGCAAGGAGAUGAGGUCAAAGCCGGCCUCUUCACGAAAGCUGGCGCCAGGGGAUGAGCCUGCGGCCCAUCACGGUAGUUGGUAGGGUAAUGGCCUACCAAGCCUAAGACGGGUAGCUGGUCUGAGAGGAUGAUCAGCCACACUGGAACUGAGACACGGUCCAGACUCCUACGGGAGGCAGCAGUGGGGAAUCUUGCGCAAUGGGCGAAAGCCUGACGCAGCGACGCCGCGUGAGUGAUGAAGGCCUUCGGGUUGUAAAGCUCUGUGGGGAGGGACGAAUAAGUGCUGGCUAAUAUCCAGCGCGAUGACGGUACCUCUUUAGCAAGCACCGGCUAACUCUGUGCCAGCAGCCGCGGUAAU
rnacentral:rRNA from 1 species